rnacentral:tRNA from 1 species
GGAGAUAGCUCAGUUGGUACAGUACUUGCCUUGCCUGCACAAAGCCCUGGGUUCAAUCCCCAGCACCA